CACCACCCUCAGAGCUUGCGUACACUGGUGUCCCAUACUUCCUGGCAGAGUUUGAUGAUGGGGGAAAUGUGUUCACGAGACCAUUUUCUCACCAACUCACGCAGACAAACAACCAGAUCACUGAAUAUAGGUUAUAGUAUGUUUCUACUACUUUGAGCUCAUGAGGUAAACAGCACUCUCAAGUGAGUAGGUAAGAACAUAUCCGUGAGUCUCGUCACACCGACAAUGCACACCUCUAACCUCUCUAUUGCAUACUCAGCAAAUGUCUCUUCCACAAAUCUGUCAUUAUACCUAUCGAGUGAACACACAAACUGUUCUAGUUCCUGGAACAAUACGUACGGACGUUUCUCUCUCCAAUUUGGAAGCUGCAGGGAGGUGUUGGCUGAUCCUCUCGUUCUGAAUCUGCCCAAUCGGAUCAACUGGAAGUCGUGUCUGGCAAAAAAGGAUGAGGAGACGAAAGCUGCUCUAGAAAUGAGGAAGAACUUCGAACUUUCACAACUGAUAACGAUGAUUAAUUUCUUCAUUUUCACUUUCACUUUUGUAUGAUUGACAUUUUGUGUGUUUGUUG